GAAUAAUAUGUGGUAUGAGAAAGGGAACCAGCCUGCCCUGAUUUGCUGGAGAGUUUGACCUUGUCAAUCUCCAGUCUGGUUUGAAAUGGUCCAGUGAUGGCCCAGGCAUCAUGGGAUUCAGGUGCAACUUUGAAAACCCUGUCCUUUCCAGGAUAUUUUUGCUAUGACUCCAGCUGGCUCAUAAGCAGUGAGCCUGGCUAGAAGAAAAAAGAAAGCAGCUCCUUUGUUUCCCUGGUUGCAGAAGAAUCCCUGAGGAGGAACCAGAUGGAUCCUGUUACAGGAAAGCAGUUCAGGCUGAACACAGUGAAUGCAUGUUGAAGCCCAUCCCAAGUAAAUGCAAAUUGGCUUUCUCUUCUAACUAGAGUUGAAAAAGAAGGCAAGCGCCAAACCAAUAAAGAGAACUACGUUUUCUACACUUCGUGACUCUCUGGCAGGACCAUGUGACAGAGUUCUGAACAUUUGAAUGUGGAUAUACAUGAUAUAUGACUAUUCUAAGCUCUAAAAUCUCCAUGGAAUUAUUUAUGACAGAUAAUAAUGGAUUUAGAUCAUAAUCUCAAAAAACACAAUCCCAAACCCUGUAAUUCCAAAUGUUGAAAUAAUGAAUUAUCAAAAUUCAUUAAGUCUAAAUCCCUAAUGUCUAAAAUCCCCAAAAGCAUAAUCAUAGGAUAGUUGUAUCGUGGAACUAUUACCUUGUUAUUGUCUUUAUUUAGAAAUUAAGUAUGGCUUAAGGAGAUGUAUAUGGAUUCCUAAUUGACAAGGAGUAGAUUUGUGACCUUAAUUUUAAGUGUCAGCUUGACUAGAUUAAGGAAUACCCAGAAAAAUGGUAAUGCAUUAUUUUGGACUUGUCUGUGAGAAUGUUCCAGAGGAGAUUAGUGAGUGAGUCCGAGUGGGCAAGGCGAGGAAAACCUGCCCUCAAUAUUGGUGGAAACCAUUUAAUCAGCUGGGGAACCAGAGAGAGCAGGUACAGAAAGGCAACUGGUCCCUCUCUGACAACUAGGGUAGACUUUUCUUUUGCUGCUUUGAACAUCAGAACUCCAAGAUUUUCAGCAUUUGUACUCCAAGACUUACACCAGAGGUCCCCAGGUCCUGAGGCUUACAGCCUCAGUCUGAGAGUUACAUCAUCUGCUUCUCUGGUUUUCAUGUAAAAACAUUGACAUUUCCUUAGUAAAUGAUAAUAUGUUCUUUUUGUACACCUGGAUUGGUGAAAUUUCUCGAGCUCUCAACUCUUUGGGUUACUGCAUACGCAGUGGUGACCCAUUGUGAUUUUUAUUCCAUCUUCUCAAAAAUUUAGGUUGUUCAUAACAGUAUUUUAGAUGAUGAGUUGUUGAGUGUACAUUACUACCAACCAUACUGAUUUGUGCUUAUACAUUUUGGUCUUGACCUAUUUCUCUAUGAAUACGUUUCAUCUGCUUAUAACUUGUAUAUACAUGUGAUUGUCGUUAGUAUAAUUAGUGUUUAUGCUUGCAAAAAUACUUAUAUCAUUAUUGCCUAUAUUAUUGUUAAAAUUGGCCUAUGAAAU
rnacentral:lncRNA from 1 species